rnacentral:rRNA from 1 species
AGCAGCCGCGGUAAUUCCAGCUCCAAUAGCGUAUAUUAAAGUUGUUGCAGUUAAAAAGCUCGUAGUUGAAUUUCGGGAUCAAAUUGUUGGUCGUGCUUCGGUACGCACUGGCAUUAUUGGUUCCUACCUUCUGAAGAACCGCGAUGUCAUUAAUUUGGUGUCGUGGGGAAUCAGGACUGUUACUUUGAAAAAUUAGAGUGUUUAAAGCAGGCGUACGCUUGAAUACAUUAGCAUGGAAUAAUGAAAUAGGACGUUUGAUUCUAUUUUGUUGGUUUCUAGGAUCGACGUAAUGAUUAAUAGGGAUAGUUGGGGGCAUUAGUAUUCAAUUGUCAGAGGUGAAAUUCUUGGAUUUAUUGAAGACUAACUACUGCGAAAGCAUUUGCCAAGGAUGUUUUCAUUAAUCAAGAACGAAAGUUAGGGGAUCGAAGACGAUCAGAUACCGUCGUAGUCUUAACCAUAAACUAUGCCGACUAGGG